UACGAAGGGGGCUAGCGUUGCUCGGAAUCACUGGGCGUAAAGCGCCCGUAGGCGGAUUGUUAAGUCAGGGGUGAAAUCCUGGAGCUCAACUCCAGAACUGCCUUUGAUACUGGCGAUCUCGAGUCCGGGAGAGGUGAGUGGAACUGCGAGUGUAGAGGUGAAAUUCGUAGAUAUUCGCAAGAACACCAGUGGCGAAGGCGGCUCACUGGCCCGGUACUGACGCUGAGGUGCGAAAGCGUGGGGAGCGAACAGG
rnacentral:rRNA from 1 species